UUUUUAGAGAGUUUGAUCCUGGUUCAGGAUUAACGCUGGCGGCGUGCAUAACACAUUCAAGUCGAACGGAGAAGACUGCUU
rnacentral:rRNA from 1 species